rnacentral:rRNA from 1 species
UUGCAAAGCACUUUGAAAAGAGGGUGAAAAGAACCUGAAACUGCUACGGUGAAAGCGGAUUGCAUAGAAUUUCAACUUGUGUGCCGUGUUCAGCUCUUCGGAGUGUACUCACGCACACUGACUCAUCGUGCGUUCUCGGUGGUCGAUUUUGGGCCGCUGGGGACGGAGGUAUCCCUUUUCGGAGGUGAAGGCGAUGGGGUGUCUGUGCGAUUCGACCCGUCUUGAAACACGGACCAAGGAGUGUAUCACAUCUGCGAGUCGUAGGGUUUAAAACCUGAGGGCGCAGUGAAAGCGAGUUUUUUAAAACGAGCAGUUUGAGGCGGCAUACGAUCGUUGAUUGUAGGUCCGACCUGGAGCAGAUGUGGUACGACCCGAAAGAUGGUGAACUAUACCGGAGUAGGGCGAAGCCAGAGGAAACUCUGGUGGAGGCUCGUAGCGGUGCUGACGUGCAAAUCGCUCGUCCGACUUGGGUAUAGGGGCGAAAGACUAAUCGAACCAUCUAGUAGCUGGUUCCCUCCGAAGUUUCUCUCAGGAUAGCGGCCCGACGCGAUGUUGUCAUGUGC